rnacentral:rRNA from 1 species
CCUACGGGAGGCAGCAGGGAGGAAUAUUGGUCAAUGGGCGCGAGCCUGAACCAGCCAAGUCGCGUGAGGGAAGACGGUCCUAUGGAUUGUAAACAUCUUUUGUCGGGGAGCAAAAGACGCCACGCGUGGCGUUACGAGAGUACCUGAAGAACAAGCAUCGGCUAACUCCGUGCCAGCAGCCGAGGUAAUACGGAGGCUGCGAGCGUAAUCCGGAUUUAUUGGGUUUAAAGGGUGCGUAGGAGGAAGAUCAAGUCAGCGGUAAAAUUGAGAGGCUCACCCUCUACGAGCCGUUGAAACUGGUUUUCUUGAGUGAGCGCGAAGUAUGCGGAAUGCGUGGUGUAGCGGUGAAAUGCUUAGAUAUCACGAAGAACUCCGAUUGCGAAGGCAGCAUACCGGCGCUCAACUGACGCUCAUGCACGAAAGUGUGGGUAUCGAACAGGAUUAGAUACCCGAGUAGUC